rnacentral:siRNA from 1 species
UCCGAAAGGGCGUGGGUUCAAAU